GUACAUCUCCUCCUUUGGAACAGGGUAUGUUUAUCUAGACAAAGGUGAGCCAGUACAUCUCCUCCUUUGGAACAGGGUAUAUAGAUAUAAGAUGUGGUAUGGGUGCCAAUGAGACAACUCUCCAUCCAAGUCACAAUUUGUAAAAGUAAACCAUUAUAGGUCAAAGUACGGUCUUCAACACGCAGCAUUGGCUCACACCGAACAGCAAGCUAUGAAGGGCCCCAAAAAUGACUAGUGUAAAACCAUUCAAACGGGAAAACCAACGGUCUAAUCUAUAUAAAAUAAAUGGAGAAUGUGUCCCCAACAUUAUAAAGGGACAUAACUCAAGAACUAUAAAAGUGACGCUACCCAAAUUUGUACUUGAUCUGAGUUUUAAGGUAAUAAGUAUUGUGUAUAGGUUUCAUAUUUAGUUGGGGCAACUUGUUAGAGAACAUAAACUAAAAAUUUUGCAAUUUUUCGAUUCAUAAAGGGGCAUAACUCGAUAAUGAUUAAAGUGACGCUACCAAAAUUCAACUUGAUCUGUGUUUUGUGGUAAAAUGCAUUGUGUAUAAGUUUCAUAACAUUUGGUUGAGGCAACUUGUUAGAGAACGGAAACUAAAAAUUUUGCAUUUUUUCCAUUUAUAAAGGGGCAUAACUCGAGAAUGGUUAAAGUGACCCCACCAAAAUUCAAACUUGAUCUUUACUUUGUGGUAAUAAGCCUUGUGUAUAUGUUUCAUAACAUUUGGUUGAGGCAAACUUAAGUUAUAGAACAGAAACUAAAAAUUUAUGCAAUUUUUCCAUUUAUAAAGGGGCAUAACUCUAGAACGGUUAAAGUGACGACACCAAAAUUCAAACUUGAUCUGUGUUUUGUGGUAAUAAGCUUUGUGUACAAGUUUCAUAACAUUUGGUUGAGGCAAUCUUAAGAAAGAAAACGGAAACUAAAAAUUUUGUAAUUUUUCCAUUUAUAAAGGGGCAUAACUCUAGAACGGUUAGAGUGACGCUUCCAAAAUUCAAUCUUGAUCUGUAUUUUGUGGUAAUAAGCAUUGUGUAUAAGUCAUAAAAUUUGGUUGAGGCAAACUCAAGUAAGAGAACAGAAAUUAAAAAUUUUGCAAUUUUUCCAUUUAUAAAGGGCAUAACUCUAGAAUGGUUAAAGUGACGACACCAAAAUUCAAACUUGAUCUGUGUUUUGUGGUAAUUAGCAUUGUGUAUAAGUUUCAUAACAUUUGGUUGAGGCAAACUCAAGUUAGAGAACGGAAACCAAUUUUGGGACGUACGCUACGGCGGGGGCAUAAAAACGAGAAACACUUAUGAACCACAUCAACAAGCGACAACUACUUAGGUCAGGUGCAAACAAAUGCAGCGGGUUUUAAUGUUUUAAUAUGUACCAACCUUCACCCUUAUCUGAAACAAUAGUGUAACAUCACAACAUAGAAACACACUAUAAAAUAUCAAUUGAAAUGCUUAACUCAAUCAAAAGACAUAUUAACACAAGUGAACAUACACUGAAUGAAUACAUUCGAUAUAUGUUUAUCUAGACAAGGGUAGGCCAGUACAUCCCCUCCUUUGGAAUAGGGUAUAUUUAUCUAGACAAGGGUGGGCCAUUACAUCCCCUCCUUUGGAAUAGGGUAUGUUUAAACAGUACAAUCUUUCCUUUAGUUAUUUCAUAGAUUUAUACCAGUUACUAGUGUUUAAUAAAUUGCUUCGCCGAGCGCAGCUGGAUACCACCGCAGAGGUCCAACCCUGAACAGUUGGGGCAAAAAUGGACGCAAUAUUCGCGCUUGAUACAGGUCUGAAUUUGGAUUGUAAUUAAAUAUUUGACACAUAAAAGGUUUCUGACACAGAAUAACUGUAGUCAAAGAACUUAGAAUUGGUUAUAUGAUUUGAAUUUAUAUUCAAUUUUUUGCUUUUGUGCAAUACACUGUGCCUGUGCGAAUUGACCCCCCCCCC